CAUCAGCCGCCACGGUAAUACGUAGGGUGCGAGCGUUAAUCGGAAUUACUGGGCGUAAAGCGUGCGCAGGCGGUUCGGAAAGAGAGAUGUGAAAUCCCAGGGCUUAACCUUGGAACUGCAUUUUUAACUACCGGACUAGAGUGUGUCAGAGGGAGGUGGAACUCCGCGUGUAGCAGUGAAAUGCGUAGAGAUGCGGAGGAACACCGAUGGCGAAGGCAGCCUCCUGGGAUAACACUGACGCUCAUGCACGAAAGCGUGGGGAGCAAACAGGAUUAGAUACCCGCGUAGUCCCUGUCUCUUAUAC
rnacentral:rRNA from 1 species